GGCACAGAGGGAAAAAAACAACGCGCCUCUAUUGUUGAGGGUGGCUUGUACCUGCGCCGCCAAUUUCAGGUGCGGCGGAGCUGCGACAACCGGCGGCGGCGAGGGACACCGGGACACCGGGCUUCGGAGCUGGGGUGGUCCUCCCGUUUCUCCCUUCCCCGCGGCCGCCCCUCUAUAUCCUCGCUCUUUCUCCGCAUCGGGGAGGAAGGACCACAGCGGCCGGGCUGAAAGAAUCUCAGUAGCGGCCAAAAAAGAAACCUCAAAUCCGCAGGAAAAGGGCAUCGUCGGGCAGGGGAAGGAGGACUGGUGAGUCUGGGGAGAGAGAACCGAAGAGAGGAAAUGCGGAGACCGCCAACAAAAUAAAUGAAAAGAGAGGAGGAGAGAAAAGAGAAAAAAGAGAAAAAGCAAGAGGGAAAAUAAAACGAAAAAUACAGAAACCAACCAAACAAACAAAUAAACAAAACAAAAACAAAAACAAAAACAACAGCCGCAGAAGGAAACAGCAGACAAAAAAAAAAAAUAAAAAUAGAGAGAGAAAGAGGAGGAAAUAAUAUCAAAAAAAAAAUACCCCAAAAAAUCGAGGGGAAUGAGGAAAAAAAUAAAUAACUAAACUAAACGAAAAAGGGAGGAAAAAGAAAGGAAAGAAUGAAGAUAAAAGAAAAAGAAAAUAAAAGAAAUGAAGAUAAAAGAAAAAGAAAAGGAAGCAAAGGAAGAUAGGGGAAAAGGACGAAAAGAAAAAGGCAAAUAAAAAUUAUGAGAGAAGAAAGAAACAGAGAAGCAAACAGGGAAAACAACAGAAGAAUGAAAACGAAAGGAUGGAUGAAUUAAAAGGAAGGAAUAAGAGAAAGAAUAAGAGAAAGAAAAUAAAGGAAACGAAAAAGGGAGAGCCAGGAAAGAAGCUCCCGAGAAAGCGAGCAAGAAGAGGUAGGAAGUGAAGGAAAACAAAGAGAGGAGGAAAUUAAGAAGGCAGCAACUGGAAAAGAACGAAAUAGGAAGGAAAAGGGAAGCGGAGCUCAGAGCAGACACCGCUCGGCCCCGAGCCCGCUCCCGCAGCGCCUCCGCCAAAGUUUGCCCUCGGUCUGCUCCGCUCCGCGGUGCUUUGUGCUGCGGGAAGCGGCGGUGAGGGGCCAAACCUCGGAGCUGGGCGCAUCUCGGCGCAGCCCCGACCCCGCAACUCUCUUUGCGGCAGCGCGGCCGGGCCCGGACCCAGCGAGCUGUUCGCCCGUGUGCGUGCGUGCCCGCAGCGAUGUGCUGCGCACACCUUUGCACGCACACCUCCGGGCGAGGGCAGCGUGUGGGCGGCGGAGCCGCUUUUCACGUUUGAUUUUAUUUCCACGGCGGCUCCCGGUGCGCCCCGUCGGCGCCGUGCGGGGCUCCGAGGCCGCGCUGCGGUACCGGACCCCGGGACCCCCCGUGACCACCAUGCGGGUGGGGUCGCGGGCACGAAGCGCUGCGCUCCCCGCCGGGCUCGGCCCCCCGUUUCGUUCGAAAGCCAAAGAAUAAAUAAAGGCAACGGGGAGGGGAGAACGAAAACGCAGCCCGGUGGCCCCCCAGCCCGCCCCCGCCAGACACAUUCCCUUAUGGUAACAGCUGGUAAUUCAGGCGGCGGAAUACCGCCUGUAUGUAACUAAUAAACCUAUUGUGUUUUAACAGGGCAACGCGUAGAGGAGCGGCGUCGCUUAUACAAGAUGUUGAUGGAAUUUACUAUAUAAAAAAAUCCCCUUUCAAGAAUAAAGUGUAUCAACUUACAGCACAACAAGCGACAGAGGGAUAAGUGAAACAGACAAAAGACAAACAAGAUAAUAAUCUGUUUCCAAUCAGUUAAGCCCUGUAGAAUUUGUAAUACGCGGUUCGCAUAUUCCCCCUGUGUUUUGUAAUUAAUUAUCUAUCUGUUGGGAUGCUCCGCCGACGACUUUGUUGAUAUUUCCAACUAGUUUUGGUGGAGUCGCCGGGGAGCGCGGAACAGCGCGGAGAGCGGGGCCGGGAGCCGAGCCCGAUCCGCGCCCAUCCGCGGGGCUGUGCAGAGCUGUGCGGGGCUCCCGCCGCUCGCGCCCCCCCUCACCCCCUCCCGCUC